UCUAAAAUGGCUUCUUCUAAAUGCUUUUUCGGAAACCAGAAAACACUCGGCUCAAUAGAGCCGGCAUACUCUAACAUACUCUGGGAAUCGGGUGUCGGCCAUAAUGGAUCAAGUAACCUCUCUGGCUUAGUACCGCCUCUUUCUUCACUUACAAAUUUGAUUUCAGAAUUCUUUUUCACAGACUUUGACAUGAAAAACGGGUGCAUGGAUGUGACAGUAUUUCGCAGAUUACUAGGUGAAUCUGCUAAGUUUGAAUAAUGUAACUCGGAAACAAGGGGGGAAGAAUUAACUGUUUCCUGUGAAUUAAUAUUCUCAACUAAAAUAUUAGUAUCUGAUG